rnacentral:rRNA from 1 species
GGUUUAUUUGGAACCACCGGGAAAACCCUUACCGGUUUUGAACUCCCUUUGGACCCGCUUCUAAAAGAUAGAGCUUUCCUUCGGAACAGAGGUGACAGGUGGUGCAUGUGUUCGUCAGCUCGUGUCCUGAGAUGUGGGUUAAGUCCCGCAACGAGCGCAACCCCUAUUGUUAGUUGCCAUCAUUCAGUUGGGCACUCUAGCGAGACUGCCCGGUAAUAAACCGGAAGGAAGGUGGGGAUGACGUCAAAUCAUCAUGCCCCUUAUGACCUGGGCUACACACGUGCUACAAUGGCUGGUACAACGAGUCGCAAGUCGGUGACGGCAAGCUAAUCUCUUAAAGCCAGUCUCAGUUCGGAUUGUAGGCUGCAACUCGCCUACAUGAAGUCGGAAUCGCUAGUAAUCGCGGAUCAGCACGCCGCGGUGAAUACGUUCCCGGGCCUUGUACACACCGCCCGUCACACCACGAGAGUUUGUAACACCCGAAGUCGGUGAGGUAACCUUUUAGGAGCCAGCCGCCUAAGGUGGGAUAGAUGAUUGGGGUGAAAGUCCG